rnacentral:rRNA from 1 species
AGUGAACGCUGGCGGUAGGCCUAACACAUGCAAGUCGAACGGCAGCACAGUAAGAGCUUGCUCUUACGGGUGGCGAGUGGCGGACGGGUGAGGAAUACAUCGGAAUCUACUUUUUCGUGGGGGAUAACGUAGGGAAACUUACGCUAAUACCGCAUACGACCUACGGGUGAAAGCAGGGGAUCUUCGGACCUUGCGCGAUUGAAUGAGCCGAUGUCGGUUUAGCUAGUUGGCGGGGUAACGGCCCACCAAGGCGACGAUCCGUAGCUGGUCUGAGAGGAUGAUCAGCCACACUGGAACUGAGACACGGUCCAGACUCCUACGGGAGGCAGCAGUGGGGAAUAUUGGACAAUGGGCGCAAGCCUGAUCCAGCCAUACCGCGUGGGUGAAGAAGGCCUUCGGGUUGUAAAGCCCUUUUGUUGGGAAAGAAAAGCAGCAGGUUAAUACCCCGCUGUUCUGACGGUACCCAAAGAAUAAGCACCGGCUAACUUCGUG